UAGCCGUAAACGAUGCUCGCUAGGUGUCGGCCACGGUGCGACCGUUGUCGGUGCCGUAGGGAAGCCGUGAAGCGAGCCACCUGGGAAGUACGGCCGCAAGGCUGAAACUUAAAGGAAUUGGCGGGGGAGCACCACAACGGGUGGAGCUUGCGGUUUAAUUGGAUUCAACGCCGGAAAUCUUACCGGGACCGACAGCAACAUGAAGGCCAGGCUGAAGACUUUGCCGGAUUAGCUGAGAGGUGGUGCAUGGCGUCAGUGACU
rnacentral:rRNA from 1 species